rnacentral:lncRNA from 1 species
UGUCAUCCUUGAAGAUACUGUUGGUGGAAUUAAUCGCUUCUCCAUAUACCAGAGCACUGACAUCUUGAAUUUGUUACAUCAAAGGAUAUUGACUGAGAAGACAAAUAAUUAAAUGACCCGUAACACAGCUGGAAAACUUUACCAUAGAAGCAAUGGUACCAGGACUGGCAGCGAAGGAGAAUACCCAAGAAGAACAGAAAUUACAUGCAGGAGAUUUACAGCUAUUCAGGGUGAAAGAUGCUGUGUUGUCUUCUUACAGAACAUCCUAAAAUGUAUCUGA